AGAGUUUGAUCCUGGCUCAGGAUGAACGCUAGCGACAGGCCUAACACGUGCAAGUCGAGGGGCAGCACAUGAGUAGCAAUACUUUGGUGGCGACCGGCGCACGGGUGAGUAACACGUAUGCAACCUGCCUGUAAGAGGGGAAUAACCCGGAGAAAUUCGGACUAAUACCGCAUAAUACCACGAAGCUGCAUGGCUUUGUGGUUAAACAUUUAUGGCUUACAGAUGGGCAUGCGUAUGAUUAGCUAGUUGGUGAGGUAACGGCUCACCAAGGCAACGAUCAUUAGGGGUUCUGAGAGGAAGGUCCCCCACACUGGUACUGAGACACGGACCAGACUCCUACGGGAGGCAGCAGUGAGGAAUAUUGGUCAAUGGGCGAGAGCCUGAACCAGCCAAGUCGCGUGAAGGAAGAAGGUUCUAUGGAUUGUAAACUUCUUUUAUAAGGGAAUAAAAAAGAGUACGUGUACUCUAUUGUAUGUACUUUAUGAAUAAGGAUCGGCUAACUCCGUGCCAGCAGCCGCGGUAAUACGGAGGAUCCAAGCGUUAUCCGGAUUUAUUGGGUUUAAAGGGUGCGUAGGCGGACCUUUAAGUCAGUGGUGAAAGUUUGCGGCUCAACCGUAAAAUUGCCAUUGAAACUGAAGGUCUUGAGUGUAAAUAAGGUAGGCGGAAUGUGUUGUGUAGCGGUGAAAUGCUUAGAUAUAACACAGAACACCGAUUGCGAAGGCAGCUUACUAAACUGUUACUGACGCUGAUGCACGAAAGCGUGGGGAGCGAACAGGAUUAGAUACCCUGGUAGUCC
rnacentral:rRNA from 1 species